rnacentral:misc_RNA from 1 species
UCCGGUUUGUCACCGGCAGUCUCCUAUGAGUCCCCAACUGAAUGCUGGCAACAUAGGACGGGGGUUGCGCUCGUUGCGGGACUUAACCCAACAUCUCACGACACGAGCUGACGACAGCCAUGCACCACCUGUGAUGGUGUCCCGAAGGAAAACCGUGUUUCCACGGCGGUCACCUACAUGUCAAACCCAGGUAAGGUGGGGAUGACGUAGCGGCAUUA